GACGAACGCUGGCGGCGUGCUUAACACAUGCAAGUCGAACGGAAAGGCCCCUUUGGGGGUCCUCGAGUGGCGAACGGGUGAGUAACACGUGAGUAACCUGCCCUUGACUUCGGUAUAACUUCAGGAAACUGGGGCUAAUACCGGAUAGGAAUCCUUGCUGCAUGGUGGGGGUUGGAAAGCUUCGGCGGUUUUGGAUGGACUCGCGGCCUAUCAGCUUGUUGGUGGGGUAGUGGCUUACCAAGGCUUUGACGGGUAGCCGGCCUGAGAGGGCGACCGGCCACAUUGGGACUUAGAGGCGGCCCAGACUCCUACGGGAGGCAGCAGUGGGGAAUAUUGCACAAUGGGCGGAAGCCUGAUGCAGCAACGCCGCGUGCGGGAUGACGGCCUUCGUGUGGUAAACCGCUUUCAGCAGGGGCGAAGCUUGUGGUGACGGUACCUGCAGAAGAAGCACCGGCUAACUACGUG
rnacentral:rRNA from 1 species